rnacentral:rRNA from 1 species
ACGAACGCUGGCGGCAUGGAUUAGGCAUGCAAGUCGAACGGGUUAUGCGCCGCAAGGUGUAUAACUAGUGGCGAAAGGGUGAGGAACACGUGAGUAACUUGCCCCCAAGUUGGGAACAACCCUCCGAAAGGAAGGCUAAUACCGAAUGUGGAUUCGUGGUCACAUGACUGCGUUUCUAAAGAUUUAUCGCUUGGGGAGGGGCUCGCGUCCCAUUACGCUUGUUGGUGAGGUAACGGCCCACCAAGGCUAUGACGGGUAGCUGGUCUGAGAGGAUGACCAGCCACACUGGGACUGAGACACUGCCCAGACUCCUACGGGAGGCUGCAGUCGAGAAUCUUCCGCAAUGGGCGAAAGCCUGACGGAGCAAUGCCGCGUGCAGGAUGAAGGCCCUCGGGUUGUAAACUGCUGUCAUCGGGGACGAAUAAAUGACGGUACCCGGAGAGGAAGCAACGGCUAACUACGU